ensembl:lncRNA
UGCUAAUGCUUGGGUGGUCAGGAGAAAUAGCCUUCCCUUUUCUUCCCCAACCCCUUCUCCUCCCACCCUCUAUGUGUGAUGAAGGCAUUUCCGGAAGCAGUGAACUAGAAGUGAAACUUGCCUUGCUUGGAAUGCCAAGAUUUAAAAACUUCCACUUACUGCUUCUCGGAAUUGCUCUGUAUCAGAAUCAUUGAGGACCUCAGGAAAUAUUGGAAGACCUCUAUUAGUCUAGAGGAAGUCUGUUGGUUCUCUCCCAUACUUUUUAAAUUUGGCCUCUCAACUCUUCUACAUUGGUAAUCUGGAUUCCAUGCCUAUAUAUCCCUGAGCUAUAAUGGUUAAAUGGAGUCAUUGGAAAAUGCUGUCAUGAAGCCUAGGAAGACAGAGGAGUGGUCAGGGCACGCUAAGAUGCCCUGGGAAUCAGACUCUUUCUGUAGGACAUGACCUCAGAAUCAACAAGAAAAACCACUUGUAUAAAUGUUAUGAGCUGCACAACCCUGGACAAGUUCAUAGAACCUCUCUCAGCCUCAGUGUCCUCAUCUUUAAAAUGGAAUUGUUGGGAGAAUCAAAUGAGAUAUCGAGCAGCUAGUUGGCAGAGUGAAGACAGUUCCAGGUCUGCAGUCAGGAAGACACCUCUUCCUAAGUUCAAAUCCAACCUCAGACAAUUACUAGCUGUAAAUAGAUUUCCAGUGAAGAAGACAAACAUCUAUGAGCAUCCAAGUGGUGCUGGACAUCAGGCUUUCCUCCUCUUCUGAUUGCCAUGAAGUGAUGAACACAGAGCCCAGAUUUUUUUGUUUCUGUGGUUUUUCAUUCUUUCUUGCUCUUAGGUAAAUGAGUGUGGGAGAAAGAGCAAAUGAGAUUAUGACCUUGUGAGCCCCUAGGAAAUGGUAUCACUAAGGAGCUAAAUCCAAGGAAAACAGUGCACCCUGCUUCACCUGAUCUAGCAGUGGAUUGACACAGUUGUCAAGAUAGUAUGUUCUGCAAGCAGAGGAACAAUUUAUCCAUUAAGUAUGCCAUACUCAGAAAUGAACUUGGUAGGAAGAGUGAUUUGUCUUCUCCCCAGGGGUCAAGCAAUAGAGGAGAGAAUGCACCCCAGUGUAAUACUGAGCUUUUUUUUUACUUUAGUUUUUUUCUGCAUCUUUUUAGCAAAAUUCCCUUUGUGAAAGCUAUUAAAGGCAUAUUAGUUUAUCAAAAUGAUACUGAAAUGCUAAUCACCAGUUAGAUGAUAAUGAUAAGAUAUUAGGUGGCAUUGGAUAUUGAUAUGGGGAGAAAAUAAUAAUAAUUUAUAUAGUACUUUAAGGUUUGUAAAGUGUUUUAUAAAUAUAUAUUAUAGGAUUUGAUCUUUACAACAAAUCCAGGAGGUAGGUACUAUUCUCCCCUUUUUAUAAAUAAGGAAACUGAGUCAGGGGGAUGUCAAGUGACUUGUCCAGGGUCACACAGAUAGUGUGUAAGGUAGAAUUUGAACUCAGGUAUUCCUAAUACCAGGUCUAAUAGAAUAUUUACUUACAUAAGAAUAUAUAAGAAAAUGAAAUGUUAAACAUCGUGGAAAGCAUUUAGAUAAUGACCAAUGAAAGUAGAAAUGGAAGUGACAUUAUGGGGGCAGUCCCAGACUACAGAAAUGGAAGGUAAAAUUAGAUAAGAAAUUUGGGCAACAUCACAAAUAUAGCAAAGAAUUAUAAUGUAAUAGGUAUGGGGAAUUUCCAUUGUACUGACAUAUACAAGUUCUCUGCCUCUGCAAAGUAAAAAAGAAACAAAACAAACAAACAAACAAAGCAAAGCAGACUCACUUUAAUGAAAAUUUCAUCCUUCAAAAAGAAAAAGUAGAGAAAAAAGAUAUUGCUUUCUGGAUCUAAUUCAAACCAACAAGGAAGAAGUGAUUGUGGAAGAAGGAAUAACUAGAGCCCUAUAAGCAGAUGACUCCUAUAUUAGUGGAAUUAUGAUAGAAAGGAGAGCUAACUAUAUGCUAGAGUACAGAUGUAAUUUGGGCACAACUGAGUUCAAAAAGUUAAAAAAAAGACAAAUAAUGUCCAUGCCUAACUAUUUUGCAAGGGUCAUGAGUUUAAAAGUGAUAGGAAGGUCUCCAGAGUUAAAUUCUGAAGAGUGGAAAAAAGAGAAUUCCCUUGAAAUAUUCCUUUCCCAGAGAAAACAUGGACAAACUCAAAUUUUCAAAAGAUAUAUAAAGAAGAUGGAAAAAUAGCAAGUAGCUAACUAAGGAAUUAUAAAAAACAGAAAUAAUCUUAAAGAAUUUCUUUUCUCAAAGCACUUGAAGCUUACUAUGAAUGUUAAGGACAAAAAAAGGUUUUGUUUUAUGUUUUUAUUUUUUUUUUCAGUUAUGUCUAGAGUAAGAGAAAUAUCAAGGAAGGGAUAAUACUGUUGUUUUUGGUUAAUGUAAUGCUGAUAAUACAUUAGAAUGAGGUUGAAAAACAACACUUAAUUUGUUUUUGUUUUCUCUUCCAAUAAUAAUUUUUUAGGACUAGGAAAAGAAAAACCAGUACAAAUAGCAAGGAAUGGUAUAGAUAAAUUAAGAGAUAGUUAGGUAUCCAUAUCUGAGAGCAAGAGUACUUAACCUCAGGCCUAUGAACUUCAAAAAAUGAGUUAACUGCUUUUCAUUCUAUCUUUUUCUUUGGAAAUGUAUGGAUUUAUGUUAUGGUAUUAAAAACUGUAUUAUGAGAAAGUACUCUUAGUCUUCACUAGAUUGCCAAAGGGGUUUACAUCACAAAAUGGUUAAAUAUCCCUAACCUAAGAUAUUAAACCUUUCAGAAGUCACUGCUGAGUUGCUAUCAAUGAUCUUUCAUAGAGCUAGGAACAACUUAGAGGAGGAGAAGGGUAAAUGUUGUCCACAUGUUCAUAAAAAAGGAAGAGGGUGGAGUGUGAAAAGGAAAACCAGUAACCGCAGUUUCAAAAUUUUAGAACACAUUAUUAAAGGGAUGGUUUAUCAGCAUUUUGAAAAAGAGACAAUGAUCACUAGAUGUCAAACUGACUUUGUUGAGAACAGGUCAUGCAAGAGUAAUUAAAUUGGAAGGUCAAGGGAAUGUUGUAAACAAAGUAUAUUAAGAUUUUAGUGACCCAUUUGACAAUCUGCCAUCUUAGCAUGUUGAACAAUAUGUGCUAGAAGAAAGUACAUGUAGGUGGAUCUGAAACUGGUUAAAUAGUUGGAACCACAAUCUACUUAUUAAUGGGUCAAUGCCACCUUGAAGAGGAAGUUCUACUGCAAUGACUCAGAUAUCUCUCCUUAGUUAUAUAUUGCUUCAUUAGUCGUAUAAAUGCAUGACUGUCAAAUUCAUGGAUGACAUUAAACUUGAGAUUGCCCAAUCUGUGUCAAGAUGGGGAAGUCUGAACUGACUGUGGAUUACAGUUCAGACACAAAAUAGAUAUUGAGAUGUUAGAAUGGUGAUCUGAACUCAGAAUAAAAUUAAUAGGUAUUUCUAAUAUUAGGUACA